AUAAAAAAUUGAAAAUUCCAUUUUCUCCACAGUGGAUCCAUUACAAAGACUCCUCUUCUUCUAGGGCACGCAGCUAUGCACACCCCACUAUUACGCACACCCCACACAGCACUCUCCUCUUAGCACGCACUUGACGGCGUCGCACCCUUCCCCUCACGAACGGCGUCGCCACCCUUCCCCUCUCAGUCCUCUCUCGGUCUCUCACCAGCGGUCGUCACCCUUGCCCUCUCAGCCUUCUCUCUGUCUCUCACCAGCCACCGCCAUGGCUUCUGUCGCCACUCAUUAACCUCAGAGUCAUGACGUGCUGCACUGCUUCUAGCCUCUCAGUGACGACGACCCUCAGCGACAAGUACUGCGAAGUGUGACGACAAUUCUCUGACCCUCAACGACGACGACUGCUUCUCCCCUCUCGGUCAUGAUGGUGCUGCCCCGGUCGUCCUCUUCUUCUCUUCUCUAACCUCUGCUCAAGCUCAGGGAUUUCUCCAAAGAUCGGAAUUUUGGUAGGGAAGCGAGCAGUAUUGGGGAUGUUCCUAUAAAAUAAAAAACUGUAUGUGCUUUUUGUUCUCUUAUUUUGCAUUUAUUUAUCUAUGGACUUGUAUGCAUCAUUUACCUUUCUAGGUUUUUUCUACUAAAUUUUGUUAAAAACUUGAACCUUGAGUUUGAAUAGUAAUUGCUUUAGAUGAUGCCAUUCACUGUUUUGGCUUCUCAAAUGAUGAUGGUAGCCUUUAGCUAUUAGUCUAGCUUGUUUUAGAGAGUACUAUUCUUGUUGUUCAUAAAUGGUUGAGGGAGCAGUGGCCACUCAGAACCAUAUAUCUCUAAUCAACAGCCAUCGGUUGGUAUAAAGUUGAUUAAAAGGGAAUUGGUAUAAGUAGAUUAAAGUUGCAUUGCUACACUUGCAUGGUAACAGUACAGUAAUGUGAUUAAAUUUAUAUGCCUUAUCGGGGUUCACAGUCUCUUUAGCGAUCAUUUAUGGACCAUUAUUUUUUGAUAUUCUUUGACCCAUCAUACCUUUAGAUUUAUGCCUUUUAUCCUGGUUCUAAGGGUUUUGUUCAUAAUUGUUGUUCACUAAUGAGGGCAGGGUGUAGUGAUUAAAAUUUAACCUUCCUAAUUUUUGUCUAUAUGGUUUUAAUAACUAAUACAUGGUUUGUACUCUAUUAGUUUAUUUUUCGAAUAUAAAAUAAACAAACUUGGGUCAGUAUAUUGUUAGUCUAUUUUGUGGCAGUUAAAUGUUUUAUUUGUCAUUCUUGUCAUGUCAUAGAUCUGCCUUUUGAGAGGUAAACUUCUAGUGUACAUUAUGCAGGGUCUAGAAGUUGUAAUAAGAGUAACAAGAAUGGGUGUAUGUGUGCCACCUUGUGUGCCAAAUAAAAACAAACAAAAAUUGCUCAAACUGUGUCCUAAAAUGAUGUGCUUUGAGCGAAAAAGAAUAUCAUGUGCUUUGAAACUAGUGUGCUACUCAUGUUUUACUUGCUUGAUUGCUUAAGUUCCAUGAUAGAGUUAGUUAAUGUAAGCUGUUAGAAUGAAUAAUUUUAACCUAUCAUGAGUUAACUGUUUGAAAUGUACAAAAUGUACAGUGAUGCUGUUAUAGACUGAUUUUUAAAUUACUAGAAUGCAUAAUAGUGCUUUUAAAAUGUUUUAAACCUUAUAUGCAUGAAGUGGCUUUUGGAAAAUAAAUAUGAAAUUGAGCUUUUAAUGCUGUCCUCCAAGUCACUCUUAAGCUAUCUUCCUUAAUUGAAUUUAUUUGGGUGACCAUAUUUCUGUCCUAUGUUAGUGUUCCUUAAGUUGUAUAUGAUGCCAUUGGAACUCUAGCUGAAGCUGUUGGUGGGGAGCUGAAUCAGCCUGUUUAUCUUGAAAUCCUCAUGCCACCAUUAAUAGAGAAAUGGUAGCAACUUUCAAAUUCAAACAAAGAUCUGUUUCCUCUCUUGGAAUGCUUUAUAUCUAUAGACCAGUUGCUACCAUCUCUUUCCAUUCCUUGCAUUUCUCAGCUGGGUUUCCAUCUUUAUGCACUUUCUUCUUGCUUCUCUUCAAAUGGUCUUGUUCCUCUUGAGAAGGCCGACAGUCAUGUAGAGCCCCUCUCGGGUGCCCAGCACCAUCCAUGGUGGCUUAAGGUUGCAAAUGGCGGUCUAUAGCACAUAAAAUUUCUAAGGUUAAAGAGGCUAUUUCAAUAGCAAAUAAUGCAUGCUGGUCUAUUGGAGAACUUGCAGUUAAGAUUCCUAUAACUUGGCAUUGGAGUCUCAGCUCAAAUAUUCUACAGAUUUUGUUAUCUGAGUUGAACAGAUUCAAGAAAGAAGAUCAAGAAAAGUUCUGACAUGAAUGUUGACCAUUUGAAAGCUGUGAGAAAUGGCUAUAGUUCAAGUAAUUCCAGUAGCUCCAUUCCUUACCUUGCAAAUGGAGGCAUACCUUCACUAAAAUUACCUGCAGUAGUUGUACUUUGGCUGGCCUUUCAGUUGAUUUUUUCCUCCUCACAUUUCUAUCUUGAGGGUAAAACUUUAAAGUGACGUUUCUCCAUAAACAAGAAUUUGAUGUAUUAAGUAUUAACUGUAAAUAAGAGACAAAGCUAUGCAAGGUUUACUACAGAUUUGGUUCUUGGCUGAAUAA